CCUACGGGAGGCAGCAGUGAGGAAUAUUGGUCAAUGGACGGAAGUCUGAACCAGCCAUGCCGCGUGCAGGAUGACGGCUCUAUGAGUUGUAAACUGUUUUUGCAUUAGGGUAAACACCCCUAUGUGUAGGGGCUUGAAAGUAUAUUACGAAUAAGGAUCGGCUAACUCCGUGCCAGCAGCCGCGGUAAUACGGAGGAUGCAAGCGUUAUCCGGAUUUAUUGGGUUUAAGGGGCGCGUAGGCGGUUUGAUAAGUUAGAGGUGAAAUACCGGUGCUCAACACCGGAACUGCCUCUAAUACUGGUGAGCUACAGAGUAGUUGCGGGAGGCGGAAUGUAUGGUGUAGCGGUGAAAUGCUUAGAGAUC
rnacentral:rRNA from 1 species